AAGCCGGAGCCCUCGGGCUGGCGGCGCAGAGCGGAGCGCCAGUUGCGUCGGGUCGCGCCAGCCCGGCCGCGGAGGUCGUGCGCUUGUGGGAGGACCUGAGGCCGUGGUUCCAAGGGUCAGCGCGGCUUUCCCGGCCUCGCCAGCCCCGUCCCACCUGGGGCCUGGGCGGUGUCCGCCCGCCUACCGCAGGAGACAGGAGCCGUCUACUCUCCACGGUCGAGGAAACGGAGGCCCAGAGAGACUGGGUAACUCGCCCCGGUGACCCAGCCGGAAGAGGUGGAGCCGGAGGUGGAGUCACUCGGCCGGUACUCUCCUGAGCCCCCGCUACUUGCUUUGCAGACAACCGAGUAGGGUCCUGGAAUGGAAGACGGGUCCCGAGGGCAAUUUAGCCGUUUAAUGAGGCCCCGAGUUCAAUUCAGUGCUCCCUGGGUUCAAUCCUGAGUACCAAAACAAAAAAUUUAAAAUUGUA